GGAAGGAAAAGGGUGGAGAGUGAGCUGUAUGACUCAGAGCUCAGCAGCGAGGAGACGCUGUAUUCUGCAUGCAAGAGGAGCAGCAGAAGCAGUGCUGGAAGAACACUGAGAAGGAAUAUGGAGCAAAUACAGUCGAGCAGUAGUGAGCUGUCACCGGGCAUGCAAAGGACGGGAUGAGGCAGGAGGCUGCCACACUGGCAGGCAGUGAGAAAUAGGCCGACUGAAUCAGCUUGCUGGAGGGCCAGUUUAGGAACUUAGGUGUUUAGUAUGACGGAAGGUGGCUGAGGGAAGGUUAAGUGAAGGUUUGCUGCAAAGACUGUGGAAGGGGAGCUUCAACGGUCAGAAGUCUGCAUUAUUGGACAAUCGCUCCAUUACCUACUGGAGAAAAAAAGUCCUGAGUGACUGUCUCUUAGCUUUAAGGAGAGGGCAAAACGGAGGUCUGCAAAUGAGAGAGAAAGCUUGAACAGGGUUGACCACUGAAGACAAAGGUAUAGAGCAGAAAAAGUGACAUAUGUGACACCAAACUUAAUAAUUCAAGCAAGGAUACAGAAACUGUGGAGAAAAAAUAGGAAGGAGGAUAAUUCAUUGUAUAAAGAUUGGAAACCUCAACUGUGAUACAAACACAUCACAAGGUACCUGUUAAAGAUUUGUGCUGAAAACCCACUCUGGAAAGAACUUGUGCGACUGAUUUUCUAUUCUACAGGAUUUUCACAUCUCAACAGACAACCUGCGUCACAUAAGGGCCACAAGGGAUGCUGCUGCCUCACAUUGACACAAGAUGCCAAAAAAGUAGCCAGAGCUGGCUUCCUGGAUGACCUUUGGCCAGCUAUGAAACCACUUGGAGACACUGGAAUGACUAAAAGGAGAAAAGCUGGACGUUGAAGUGGACCAACAAAAACGAAAGGAGGAAUCCAUUUUAAUGAGAUUAUGUGAUUAUCUUUUUUCUUCGAGAACAAUAGUGAGGAAUGUGCUGGACUGAAACAUUACUCUGAAUCUCUGUCGGGUGAGAUUAACCAACAUCCCUGAGGCUUAUAUAAUAAUAUCUUGUCUUGGACUCGUGGAGCAGUUCCUGGUGUCCGAAAAUGGUCUCAUUACAGAAAUUUGGCCAGUGUUGGACCUCUUGAGAAAGCACGCGAGGAGAUUCUUUAAUGAGCCUUGGCACAUAGGGUCGCUGGACUGGUGGCAAAUAUGCUCUCUUUGCUUCUGUUUCUAAGGCAGUUAACAUCAUCGGGGCAUUAAGUUAGAAACUGCCUUCUCUCUGACUUGAAUCACUCUCAUCUCAAGACGACUGCGCAGGACAACACAGUGCCACACUCUCCAUCCAGCUGUGGAAGGACCAGCUGUGUGUUAAUGUGGGGGAGCCGUCAUGGUUCCUUUUUGCACAUAUGUGGGUGUGACUAUCGAUUAGUGUGUUCGCACUGAGCUUUGAAGCCACUGUGUCAGAUUGUGUGAACGUGUGCAUGGAUUCUCCUCACCAGUGACAGAGCUGGACCUGAACAGCAGCAGUGGGAAAGGGGAAAGGGAGGUGAGGGAAAAGGGGAAGGAGGAGGAGGAGGUGACAGGAACACGCAGGACAAAGAGGGGGGAAACACUAAAAAGAUGCUUGGAUAAAGAGAAGAAGCAAAGGAGUCUUUGGCUGCCACUGCGGUGCAAUGUGUGGCACUGUGCCCUCUGGUGGUGGGAUUCUGUGAUGGUAACCAUGAUCCCCGGCAGCCACUAUGUCUGCAGCGCUCACUCCAGAGAGGAUGACUCAACUAAUGACCGCGAAGAGCGAAUUUUAGCUGUGCUAGGCAUCAUUGGGACCGUCCUAAAUCUGUUAGUGGUCAUAUUCGUCUACAUAUACACCACCGUCACCUGAGGUUUCCCACAAGACUGCAAUGAGAGAUGCUGGUGCCAAUACAUGCUUAUACUGCCACCCCUUGAAGUGGUCACAUACUUUAAGGGGUUUGUUCCACUGGAUGUUGACCUGCAAUGUUCAGUUGUCUGCAGGAAUGUAAAUUCUUCUGCAACAUGUAGAGGAACUAGUCUGUCUUUCUGUGCUGCUCAUACUCAACUGUGUUUUCACAUUUUAUAAAUAUUCACUUCUCUAACAAUACCCCAAUAAUUAAGACUCUCUGUGAUUUGUGAUUAUUGAAAAUUGUUGACUUCAAAGAUUUUUAUUCUUAUAUUUUUGAGUGUAAAGCUUAAACCUUGCUGUUAAAAUGCUAGUUUUGUGUUCUUUUGUUAUUUGUGUUUGUUUUUACAAAAUUUAAGAUUGUCACUGCCACUAGCACUGCCAGCCGAUGUUACAAGCCCAUAUGAGCAACAGGAGAGCUUUUAGCUAACUGGAGAAAAUUAGUGGAUAAAAGCAAAACUAACACCAUCACUUCUAACCAAAAAGUAAACUGGUAGCAGAACACUUUGAGUCAAAUAGCACCUAUAUAUGUUCUUGAAAUCUACAUUUGUGUAUUUAAAAAAGCAUAACCAUUCCUUAUUAACCAUUUCUUUUUAUUUUGUGGUGUUCCUAAAAAAGGUUUUACAUGGAACUGACAUGUCCACACCUGAGCAUACCUGAGGAGAGAUUCCUGGCUGUGCUGGGAAUUAUUGGUAUCAUCCUAAACUUACUGCUGCUUGUCUUUGUGUAUAUAUACACCUCCAUCUGAUGGAGCUUUUUGUUAUAUACUCCAGUUCUUCCCAAUAUGUUGGGUAAUGAGAUAACUGGGCAUCUUGGUAACUCUAAUUUUCAUAUUGUUAACACAUUUGUAAAUAUUAAAAUUUGGUUCCUUAAAUAUAUAAAGUAAACUUUAGGUGGGCUUGUGUGUAAGAUAAAAUGAAAGUAUUGGGCAUUUGAAGGAAAAAGCAAUGAUAUACAGAGUUUAAGUAAGGGUGUAAAGCUGUUCACCUGUGUUUGCAUUGCCUCAGUGAAAUAUUGUUUCACACAAUUUGGAACAAAAUCAAAGUAAAUGCUGCCGGUCCUGUUGGCUUUCUAUUUCUGAUACAUGCUUACUUACAUUGAAAACAUUAAAGAAAUGGAACAGGGUUCUGAACGUGGUUUGAUCCGUGCAGAAAUCCUGCGUUUCAGCAACGAUCCCUCUGUUAAAGUUUGGUGCCACCGAGUAAUGGUUUCUUUUAUGCUGUCAUGUUUGUUUGAUUGGAUAUUGGAGCCAGACACAGAGGAGCAGCUUCAGAGAGAGCAGACCCUGAAAUUGAGACAAAGCCGCUUGGAUUUAGACAGUAGACUUUUGCAGCUGAGCUCAAAUAGCAGCUAUAACGAAAUCGAAGAGGAGCGCCGUGUUAUGUCUAAAAAUGGAGGACAGAAUAACGUUCUAAAGAGGUUCACCAUCUGUUGCAAAACUAAUGAGGGGGCACAGAACCCUCUUCAAUAUACUGGAGCUGCAUAUCUAAACGGAUGUGAGUUUAGGUUUAGGCAGCGUAAACCUUAUGUUGGAGUAGACCAAAAUACAGCUGACAGGAGAGAAGCACAGACCGGGCUUAAUCUGCAUUUCAUCCUGGUCAUUCUUUUCUCCACCAACAAACUAAAACCAGAGAAGACAUAGUAGCCCAUCAGUCCCAGCUGCAGCUUUACAAACUGUUGUAAAGGAAACAGCCCAGGUGUCUAUGUGUAAUUUAACAUGUUGGCCCAUAUGGAAAAGUGUUAAGAUUUUUGGUUAAUUCUGUUAAAUUGUUGUUCCACAGUGUACUGUAUAUCUUUAAUUUCUUCUUUGGGUUUCUUUGGUUUGUGAACAAAGCCAGAAACCAGAACACCAGUGUUGGACAAUGUUUCAACUGAAACUAAGCUGAUGUGUUUCUGGCGACCACAAUAUAUUUUUAUAAGAUGUUAAAGGUUCAGAUGAGAAUGCCAUGGAUGAAGAACACUACAAAUAUUCAUGUGAAAGAUCAGAAAAUAUACAUUCAGUAGUUUAAUUUUGUUUAAAAAACUAAAGAAAUGCAUCCAUUUUUAUAGAUUAAAACUUUCAGAAUAUUCACAGGAAAAUUUCUAAAGAUUUCUUCCACGUUUUCAAAUUCUGGGAGACCCUCACAGAUAAACUGCCUAUGCCUCAUUUAAUCAACUUGAGGCAUGUUUACUAUUUGUAUAUUUACCGCUGUUUACUGCUCUGUUCAGUGUUAAAUCUGUAGCGGCAGAUUCAUGGCUGUGAUGAUAAACAUAAAUUACAGAAAGAUACAAAUGUUUUCAUUUUACUCUUUUGUUUUUAAAGCUGAGAAAUGCCUAAAAAACUUAAAUCAUACAGUUUCAUUUAGAUGUUUACAUUUACUAAUAAUCGGCAUGAAUGUCCUCGUAAUUUCAGGCUUUUACUGAUAACUUAAACCACUCUUUAACCAACCUAAAGUUAUUAUACAUACAAAAUCAAUUAUUUUAUAAAACUAAAGAUUGGAUGUACAUUUUUGAAUUUAAAAAUGUACUUUAGUAACGCACACACACUUUGUAGCCAUGGCCUGUGGCAUCAUUCUUGCCAGAUAUUUGACCACUCUUCUUGGUAAAAUUAGGAAAGCUGAUUUAAAUUAGUUGGUUUUUUAGCAUAGUCCAGAAAUGUUCAACAGUGUUGAUGUAAGGACUUUUGGGGAUUACCAUUCAGGAAGCUAAAUGAUGAGGAUAGCCUCACACUGAGGGUCUGUUUAGCUGAAAAUGGUACCAAUGCACUGCACAAAGUCUGUGGAGCAAUAAAAAAGGAGGACUACCACAGAUUUUUUUUUUACUUCACCUGAAACCUACAGAAAAACACUUGAAACUCUGCAAACAGGAUGAUGAUCCCAAACACACAAUCAAAACGUUCUUUGUUAUGUUUGUUUGGGAUCAUCAUCCCUACUAUCCUACUAUCAAGCAAACAUUAACCAUUUUGAAUUGCCCAGAUCUCAACACUAUUGACAGUUUGUGGACCUCAAAACUGGAUCCAUGCCAGGAAACAAAAUACUUUAAAUCCACUCUACAAAUUCUUCAAAUUCCUCUUCAUAGUUAAAAGGUCAAACAAUCCGCCAGUUAUGCUAGAAGUUUGUUUUUGAAUACAAAGAAACGUGUUUUUGUUCUGCAACUUUCUAGGGGAAAUUUGCCCAAAUGUGUGUGUGUGGGUGUGUAUGUUCAUUUAAGCUAUUAUGUGUCAUUUUGACCUUAUGUGGAUUACAGAAAAUCAACAACAACUUCAGACUUCAGACCUCAGCAGUUCACCAUCGUUUUACAUUAUGGGUUUUAUUUUUAUGCAGUCUUUCAAUAUAACUGAGGUCAAACUGGUUCACACUAUGAGAUUAUCAGCUUUAUUUGGUCAAUAUACUGCCUUUAAAGAUAAGCUAAUAGUUCAUCCCUUAUUUACUAAUGUUUUAGAGUUCAAUUAGAAACCAUUAUCAAUUUUAUCUUAGGUUAACUGUUUAUCUUUUUGGAUCCCUUUGUAACAAAGCACUUUUUUCAAAAUGUCAUAACCAUAACACAACCUAUUCAUGAGUAGGAACAGCACACUUCCAAUAAUAUUUCUAUAUGAUACAUAAAGCAAUAGUAAAUGACUAGAUUUAAGAUCUUCCAAGGGACUUAAAAACAUUAAGUCUCCUUAAGUUAUUGCAUUACAUAUCAGCUAACACAAUAUUGAUGUUUCACCUUGAGCACUUUGAACCCUCUGUACUUGAUUUAUCAGAAGCGCAGAACAAUUCAGCUUAAAACACUGAUAGCAGCACAGUAAUGGAUAAAAAUAAAUCCAGCAAAAAUUCCAUGUUAUAUUUAUUGAGACUAAUUAAAAAAGAAUCCUUGCACAUAUUGAGUGUGGACUAAUACUGCAAACAUUCGGUAUAUUGAUCACUUUUGAUAAGCUGAUGUAUUGCCAUGGUCACAUCCAAGCUGUAUCUAAAUGCAAUGAAGUUUUUGCUUGGGACCAGUUUAAUGUGAGCUGUGUGAACCAAUAACAGAACAGAGAGCCCUGAGGGUGAAUCCUGACCAUCUGCUGUCCAAAUAGACUGUGUGUGAAAACACACGCAAUCACACACAUGAACACACGUGCUUAUACGCACACACACACACACACACACACACACACACACACACACACACAGCAUGUUUUUGUUUUUUUUAUUAGCUUAAACCUUCACUCGUCAGUGAUUUUUUUCUAUGCAUGAAACAUUUCCUCAUGUAGCUGAAUUUUAGACGUGAAAAGAAAUCUGGAACCAAAAAGGAUUCUGAAUUUCUUUGGCUAAGCAAGCUUUCUCUUGAUGCACGAGCUGAUUUUCAUUUUCAGAGCACUCUGUUCAUGAGAGAAUUCAGACAACAAGGUUUUAUAAUAUGUAUUCAAGUUAGAAUCUGGCCAAAAUAAGUGCCUGGUGGAAGAAACAGCAGAGGAGGAUUAACUUUUUUCCUCUAUUUGGCCAUAGCAGAGUCCUUUUUAAAAUAAAUAGUAUUUUCUGCAUUUAGCAGCACAUCUCCACCGAGAGGAAAAGCCUGUGAAAAGCCUUGAUAUGAAUGAUAGCUUUUAGGGAUUUGUUUCUUAUGAUAUGGAUGAUAGGGAUUUGUUUCAUAUUUGUAAUUUUUCAUUUAAAUUCAAAUUAAUAAAACUUUUGUUAGUUUACCAGAAAUUAUUAACAAAUGGAGGCAGAGAAAAUGAUUCAUUUGUCAAAAUUUUGUAUAAUAAUCUGAUUUUCAGAAAGAAACUUUUGCUGGUGAAGCAAAGGAUGAAAGAUGAAAGUAAAAAUGAAAGAUGUCUGAAAUGACUACCAGAUUGUUCAUGUUUGCUUCUAUGAAUAAGUGAUAAAAGCUAUAUUAUCAAACAAAAGAUGAAUCUAUCAGAAGACAUGACAACAUGAUGCUGUUUUAAGAUGAAGCUAAAAAAGAACAAAUAUGUUUUAUUAUCUGAUGUACUUUCAUAUGCAGAGGUGUAAAUACAUACAUGUAGAGUUAUAGAGAUGUCCAUGAAAAAUAAAAAAUCUUUUGUCAAAACA